ensembl:snoRNA
GAAAGCCUGUGAUGUGAUGUUAUCCCUGUCUGAAAGCUCAUUUAUGAAGGGAAAAAGAGUAUCAACUGAGGCUUUU